UGAGGAAUAUUGGUCAAUGGUCGGGAGACUGAACCAGCCAAGCCGCGUGAGGGAUGAAGGUGCUAAGCAUUGUAAACCUCUUUUGUCAGGGAACAAAGGCAUCCACGAGUGGAUGUGUGAGUGUACCUGAAGAAAAAGCAUCGGCUAACUCCGUGCCAGCAGCCGCGGUAAUACGGAGGAUGCGAGCGUUAUCCGGAUUUAUUGGGUUUUAAAGGGUGCGUAGGCGGCCUGUUAAGUCAGCGGUAAAAGCCCGGGGCUCAACCCCGGCGAGCCGUUGAAACUGGCUGGCUGGAGUUGGCGAGAGGUAUGCGGAAUGCGCGGUGUAGCGGUGAAAUGCUUAGAUAUCGCGCAGAACUCCGAUUGCGAAGGCAGCAUGCCUGCGCCACACUGACGCUGAGGCACGAAAGCGUGGGGAUCAAACAGGAUUAGAUACC
rnacentral:rRNA from 1 species